rnacentral:rRNA from 1 species
CAUCGCUCCUUGUAAGAAAAUAAAUAAGGAGUACUGCCUGCCCAGUGACUUAAGUUUAACGGCCGCGGUAACUUGACCGUGCAAAGGUAGCAUAAUAAUUUGCUCUUUAAUUGAGGGCUAGUAUGAAAGGCAAGACGAAGGCAAAACUGUCUCCUUUUUAAAAAAGAAAUUAAUAUUUUAGUGAAGAAGCUAAAAUAAAAACGCAAGACGAGAAGACCCUGUCGAGCUUAAGAAAAUUUUUAUAAUAUAAAAGGAAAAGCUAAUUUUUUAAUAAAAAUACUUAAACAAAAAUUCAAUAAAAAUAUCUUUGGUUGGGGCAACCACGAAGAAAAAACAACCUUCGAUUUUAAAUAAAAAUAAACAAAUUUAAAAGUUAUUAAAACUUUAAAAGAUCCGGAAAUACCGAACAAAGAAAAAAGUUACCGCAGGGAUAACAGCGUUAUUCUCUUUGAGAGCUCAUAUUGACAAGAGAGUUUGCGACCUCGAUGUUGGACCGGGGCACCCAAGAGAUGCAGAAGUCUCUAAAGGUAGGUCUGUUCGACCUUUAAAGCCCUACGUGA